rnacentral:rRNA from 1 species
UACAGAGGUCUCGAGCGUUAGGCGGAAUCACUGGGCUUAAAGCGUGUGUAGGCGGACUUCUAAGUACCUUGUGAAAUCCCACGGCUUAACCGUGGAACUGCUUGGUAUACUGGUUGUCUUGAGCCACUUAGGGGCGAGCGGAACAAAUGGUGGAGCGGUGAAAUGCGUAGAUAUCAUUUGGAACGCCAACGGUGAAAACAGCUCGCUGGGAGUGUGCUGACGCUGAGACACGAAAGCCAGGGGAGCAAACGGG